AACGUAGGAGGCGAGCGUUAUCCGGAUUUACUGGGCGUAAAGCGCGUGUAGGCGGCGAAGAAAGUUGGAUGUGAAAGCUCCUGGCUUAACUGGGAGAGGUCGUUCAAAACUUCUUUGCUUGAGUUUGGUAGAGGAAAAUGGAAUUCCGGGAGUAGUGGUGAAAUGCGUAGAUAUCCGGAGGAACACCAGUGGCGAAAGCGAUUUUCUGGACCAAUACUGACGCUCAGACG
rnacentral:rRNA from 1 species